AGAAAUUCCUUCCUCUCGUCCCCAAUGUGUUUUGCAACUUACCCCAAAAAUCCAUCAUUACUCUCUCACCACGUACCUUGCCUCAGCCUCGCGUUGUGGCCUGACUCUCGCGCCUUAGCUUGACGCUCGUCCCCUUCAUUUUGCCGCGAUCUGCAACUCUGCAUCAUUGUGUUUGUGAGGUGAGUUUCCCUUUUUUCUUUACUUAUGUGCUCAUAAAGAAUACAUUCUCAAAUGUCGUGUAGCUUGUUUUUGGGUAUAUUUUUAUCCAUAUGUAUCAUAUUUUUAUCACCGUAAAAAACAACCUUAAAAAAAGGUUCUAUGUUGAAUUCAAAGUAGAGGCAUGGUCAGCCUUAAAAAACCACUACUAGUAACUAGUGUACAUUAUAGUAGAAAUCAAAUAAAUGGCAUAUGAAGUUACUAGUUUUACAACAUAGCUAGAGGUAAACGUAUUCCAAUAAGUUACUACUUAUUGGAAUAUUGAGGAAGCAAAUCAGGUUUUGAUUAGAACAUCAAAGAACAAAGGAGAGUUGAAUUAAGGCUGGUUAUUAUACAAGAAUUUGUUGCUUUUGCUCCCAUCACAAACAUUGACAUAACAACAACUUCUUCUCAAGGUUCUUUUGAUGGACAACGGGAUGGAAAGGGUUGCUUGUUACACCUACUAGCCCUGUGUUGACAAUUUUUGUGGCUGCUAUUGGUGUUAACUUCUUCAUGCAGGCUUCUUGGAAUGAUGUUGUCAUGUAUUAUAUCCUAGAAGUGUAUAAGGAAGUUGGGAUUAAGGUUGAGAAGCAACUUUUUGGUGUUACAAUCGUCAUCGGAAUAUCCAAGACUUGCUUUAUUUUGAUAUCAACCUUGUUCUUGGACCAAGAUGGGAGGAGGCCCAUGUUGUUGUUAGGCUCAUGUAGCAUGGCAAUCUCAUUGUUUGUGCUGGGCUUGGGUUGUACCUUGCUUAAGUUAUGUGGUGAUAACAAGGAUCAAUGGGUCAUUGCUUUGUGGGUGGUUGCUGUCUAUGUUGCAGUAUCAUGCUUUUGUAUUGGGCGUGGGCUGACAACUUGGGUCUACUCUUCUAAGAUUUUCCCUCUAAGGCUAAUGGCCCAAGGUUCCAACUUGGCCAUUUUUGUGAACCGUUUGAUAAGUGGGAUUGUGUCCAUGACAUUCCUUAGUGUUUUAGAGGCAAUAACAUUUGGAGGCAUGUUGUUUGUGCUUGGUGGGGUGAUGGUGUGUGCCACACUUUUCUAAAAUUUAUUUUUAUCAGACACCAAAGGCAAAAGGUAAGAGGAGAUUGAAGCGUUGUUUGAAGAUAAAGUGCAUUGAAUCUGAGAGUAAGGUUUACAUUAAAGCUUUCAUCUUUCUUUGAAGAUCAAGCCUUUAGAAGUUGGAAAAAAGAAAUAGUGUUUUUGUCCAAGAGAUUGGCAAAUCAGUGCAAUUAUUAUUAUUUGUUUAAAUUGUUGUUUGCCUGGCAAGGUACGUAGUGGUCUAUACAUUUGGACAGACUCAGGAAUGAAUGUCUCCCAAGAAAUAAAUUGUUUGGAAAUUGAAUCUUGAGCUUCUUUGUUUCAUUGGAAAUUGUAUUUGUUAAGGUAUUUGAUUGUUUUCUCUAUGAGUGCAUAUGCAUAAAAGCAUAUAUAGUAUAAGAAUGAAUGAGAGGGCAUACACAUUUCAAAAUUAGCACCAACCUAUUAAUCAAGUUGAGAGCAGAUUUGGCUGAAUGACUUCCAACAAUCAGAAAUUCAAUGCUUCCUUGCUACUUGCUAGGUGCCUGAAAUUGAAAGCCUCAAUUCAACUUCUCCUUUGUUCUUUGAUGUUCUAAUACAAAUGCUAAGACCCAAGGUAAAUGUGUUGGUUGUUAUAGUCAUAUGAAGUGGCUCAAUCCCAAUCAUGUUUAAUUUAUAAGUUGUUAUGUUCUACACUAUUUUAUCAUUUAAGUGACUUAGUGACCGUAUAAGCUUAUAGACUAUAUUCUAAUUGGUUUAGCUUGCAACACUAUAUAUCCUAUCUUGUAGCAGCUUCUAAUUUAACUUUGUUUUAUGUAACGACUGGUUGAUGUGGGUAGGAAGUAGGAUGAUACUACAUUAAGUUGUAUUUCACUUUGAGAUGUUUUUUCAUCACUAUGAUGAGCAAAUUAGUUAGAAGAUGAUAACUCCAUGAGGGGGUGCAGUAGUUUCUUAGGGAAGAUUCAUUUAAUGAUCUUCAUUUUCUGCAGUAUAAUAUGUGUUUUCGAGGAUAAGAGUGAGGAGGUAGUGAUAUCCUUAUAUUUUAGCAGAUUAUUAGAAAUAGGGAAUAGUUUAUUCUGGUAGAAAAUUGUAUCCUUGAUUAAUUCAAUAUAAGUAUAACUAAUUAAUUCACUUUAAACUUAAGCUAGAAUGAUUUCUAGUAGUAUACAAAAACCCAUUAUUUCAUUACUCGGUAAGAUUUUGGUUAAACUUUAACUGCAAGGAUUAAAAACCGCCAUUGAUUUUACUAGUUGCUAAAAGCCUAAAACUACAUAACCCCCACUUACAAUGAAAUAGAUCCUAACAAAAAAAAUAUGUAAUAGGUAUUAGACAAAUCCUACCAGCACAUACAUAUUACUUGUUUGUAAGCUCAUAAAUGCAUUGACACAUGUAAACUUAUGUUGGUCAUGUUAACAAAUAACAAGGUGUAAUUAAAGUAAAAGAUACAAAAAAUCACACUGAUAUAACUAAUUUUGACACUUAGGUACUCAGGUUCAGCCUAUCCCCUGUUAUACUUUGAGUAGCAUUGAGUCGAUUUUCUGAAUAAUCAUGGAUGUUUGCAACCUCAAUUGAGUUGCUAAAGUCUCUGUAUAUCCUAUCAGUAAUUUCAUUUAUCCUCUUCUCAAGUGCUUACGAACAUCUGCAUUGCUCUUGUUAACAGAAUCAUUUAACUGCAAAGCAUAAACAUCAAGUAACCACUUAGAUAUAUCCUAAAGAAUGUUGCUAAAAUGAACUAAGGAAAUGUAAAUGCCACCUUUUACAGUUCUGGACUGAUGCAUUCAAUUGUUUCUUUGAUGGUCUUUUUUUCAUGCCUCAAAUUUGAAGGUUUAUCUUCAAUGCUCUACUGGAAAUCAAUAAUUAAUGUUAGCUUGCCUUUGAUUGGUGCAUGUUUUCAAAAAUAAACAAAAAGGCAAUUUUACCUAAUUUGGCAAGGACAGAAUAUGACCAAUUUGUUGUCUCAUUCUUGCAAACAAACUAUAGGCUACAGAAUAUGACUAGUUACUUCUCGAUAAUUAAUGCUGAUAUUUUAGUGAAAAAAAGGGAGCUCCAGAAAGCACAAGAAAAAGAUACAGAAAAGAUAGAGCAACCACGGACAAUUGGUAGCUAGUAGCUACCAACAGGCAACAAAGUACUUAAUUAAGUAGAUUUUGUAAUGAUAUGACCUUAAGAUAUAUUGACAAAGUGAUGCUUCAUCCAGUGAAAACUUUGUACAUUUAUUAGUUACUCAUCUAUUAAUUCUCUAUUGAAUAAGUCACUUGUGUGUGUAUUUGUAAUGCCAAUAAUUAUCGACGAUGGACUUAUGGCACUUGCUUUUGCCAAUUAUUUCAAAAGCUAACAUACAAUUUAAGUUUUUCUCCUUCCACUACAAAUCUCAGCAUUCAACCCACUUAGGUAUCUUUCUUGUCAACUGCAAGGUGCAAUAUAAUAUUAUAUGUAAAGCAAAGGUAUUGGAGUUAACUCUGUAGAUCACUUCAAUGGACAAUUUAAAGUUGGUGGAUUAUGUUGCCUAUGCAGAUAAGUGCCCCAAAUAUCGCAUUUCUGGUUUUGUCUCUUAAUUUUCGUGUAAGCAUGUGACUAUGUUGUAUGGCAUAUCAACUUGUCAAUAUAGUGCUACUACCACACCAUGCUUUCCAUUAAAAGAAUAAAUAGGGUUCACAUUUGAGGCAAUACAACUAAAGAAUGAAAUCUAUAGUAAUCGUUCGUUCUUAAUGUAACAUCCCAAUUUUUGUAAUCUAUAUUAAAAAGGAUUGUUAUUUAUAAAUAAAUAGAGUUUUAGAAAGAUGAUGAAAUUUUAUAAAUAAAUAAAUAAGGAGAUAUAAUUAUUAAUUAAAAUAAUGAUUUGAGAGAAAAUAAAAAGGGUAUUUUAUUUAUUUGUUUGAUAGAGAAUAAAAUAAAGUUUUCUUUUAUAAAAUAAUAAAUAAAUAAAUAGAGUAAACCUAGUUAUAAAUAGUGUUAGGUCAGUUUUCACACUGACGGUGCCUCUUCUUUCUCUCAUUUUCGUUUUUCUCCUUCUCCUCUCAAAACCCUUUCUUUUUCCCGCAGCCCACCAAACCUGUCUCAGAAAAACGACGAUCUCGGACUCGUUCACCGUUGGAUCGUCGUGAAAUUUUAAUAACACGUUCGCAACCCAAUUCCGACCAUUCUCACCGUUGAGAAUUUUGAUAUCAUGUCUGAGCUAAGAGAAAUACCCCUCGCAUUGUAGCCUUUCCUACAGAAACCCAAAGUUGUCUCGGUAAAACUACGAUCCCGGUUUCGUUAACCGUUGGAUUGUCGUAAAAUUUGGAUAUGUUAUUUGAAAUUCAAUUGCACACACUUCCACCGUUGGGAUUUUCGAGAUAACAUUCGUGGAGGGAGAAAAAGGAAUCGCAUGAAGACAGUACAAGUGGAGAUUUCAAUCUCUUUUUUGUCUCUCUGACGUUUGGGAACUCUAUUGGAGCAGUUGAAGGAAUAACUCAAGGAAUCUUAGGGAACCGUUAGAGAUGUUACUAUCGUUGGCUGAAGACACGUGAGUCCGCUCAGAGGUAAGGGAUGAGUUUAUCGCAAUUGGGGGUUAGAAUGAACAUGUGUAGGGAUCCUUAGAGAACUAAAUUUGGGUUUAUUUUGGGAUGUUUAUUGAAUUAUAAUUUUUCCUUUAUGAUUAUAAAUACAAUAUUAUUGUGUUCUAUGUACCAAUUGAUGUCCUGAUGAGAAUUGAUUGAUAAACUUGAGUGCUCUUGAUGUCUUUGUGUUUAACUCGUGAUUUUGAUUAAUUGAUUUUGAUACAAUUGGGAGAAACUAUUUCAGAGGUUUUACAUCCCAUGUUGUGAUAAAAUCUUUUGUAUAAAUUGUUAUGUUUAGGUUAUGAAAUGAUGAUUCAAACUGUGCGUAUGUGAUAAAUUGAACAUGUGACAGAUGAUGAAAUACAUGUGUAUUGAGAUGAGAUGUAUGUAUUGAGUUGUGAACUAUGAAUUGUGCAAUCACACAAUUGUAAGACCCUUUAAGGGCGACGAGUAUUGUGAUGGGAUCCACUGUGGGAACCUGACGAGUUAAAAUGAUUUUGAAAACAAUUGAGUAAAUGUGUGUAUUGCAUAGUUCAUAAGUAAAGUGUAUAUGAUUCCAGAGGUGUGAUAACAUGUUAAAUUGAGAUUAUACCAUGGUGAUUGAGAUUAAGUGUAUGUGAUAAAUUGAGUAUGUAUAUGAUUGAGAUAUAUAUGUGCAUUGAGGUGUGGUGUGCAUUGAGUUGUGAACUAUGAAUUGUACAAUCACACGACCAUAAGUCCCUUUAAGGGCGACGAGUUAAUGCUAAGUCCCUUUUAGGGCGACGAGUUGAUGCUAAGUCCCUUUUUGGGCGACGAGUUAAUGUUAAGUCCCUUUAAGGGCAACGAGUUAAUGAUAAGACCCUUAAAGGGCGACGAGUUAAAAUUAUUUUGAGAACAAUUGAGGAGUCGUGUGUUUUGUACAGUUCAUAGAUAGAGUCUGUGUGCUAAAAUAUUUUCUGGGUUGAACCUGAAUCAGGAGGGAGAGGCCCUGACGGACUCUUCGGAGUGUAGGCCUUGGGGGUUACACGGUUUGAGUGCUCCUUUAAGCUUAUGUUGAUCCCAUAUGGUUGGAGUAUUCUCGCAAAACACUGUGACCCUGAUUGGUCUCCCUAUGAUAUUACUUAGUGAGAGUGACUUGACUUACUAGUGUGUGGUUUGUCUUAUCAUGUACUCCUAGGCGCCCGACGAGGUUUUUCACUGACAUGGUACCACAUUGCAUAUAGGCUUGAGUCUUAGCAUAACUGUUGCAUACGCAUGCUAAUUGUUUAUUAUGAAAUUGAUGUGUUAUUAUGUCUUGAUCGGAGUGUGUGAUUCCUGUGUAUUGUGAUUGAUGAUUGAAAGAUGUGAUUCAUGGAUGAAAAGUGUGAUUGCUGAAUGACAAAGUGAUGAAAUAAUGUGAGAUAUGCUAAGUAAAUUGUAUUUGGCUACUAUAUGUUGUCUUGUUUCUUUCUAGUAGUUAGGAAUGUGAUAACUCACUUCCGGUUUGUUGUUUAUGUUUGGAUCCUGUGAUGAUCUUGAACUUUGUGUUCGAGGGAGCAGAUGAAUAGGUUGAUGACUAUGAAGAACCUCAUGCUAGAGGACACGGGAACACCAC
rnacentral:lncRNA from 1 species